rnacentral:rRNA from 1 species
GCUGAACUUAAGCAUAUCAAUAAGCGAAGGAA